rnacentral:rRNA from 1 species
UACAGAGGUGGCAAGCGUUGUUCGGAAUUACUGGGCGUAAAGGGCGCGUAGGCGGUCAGGUCAGUCCCGUGUGAAAUCCCUCGGCUCAACUGAGGAACUGCACGGGAAACUGCCUGGCUUGAGUUCGGGAGAGGGAAGCGGAAUUCCGGGUGUAGCGGUGAAAUGCGUAGAUAUCCGGAGGAACACCGGUGGCGAAGGCGGCUACCUGGCCCACUCUUGACGCUGAGGCGCGAAAGCUAGGGGAGCAAACGGG